GAACGAUGAAGCUGGAGCUUGCUCUGGUGGAUUAGUGGCGAACGGGUGAGUAACACGUGAGUAACCUGCCCUGGACUCUGGGAUAACCCCGAGAAAUCGGAGCUAAUACCGGAUAGGACCUUGCACCGCAUGGUGUGGGGUGGAAAGUUUUUUCGGUUUGGGAUGGACUCGCGGCCUAUCAGCUUGUUGGUGAGGUAAUGGCUCACCAAGGCGUCGACGGGUAGCCGGCCUGAGAGGGUGACCGGCCACACUGGGACUGAGACACGGCCCAGACUCCUACGGGAGGCAGCAGUGGGGAAUAUUGCACAAUGGGCGCAAGCCUGAUGCAGCAACGCCGCGUGCGGGAUGACGGCCUUCGGGUUGUAAACCGCUUUUAGUAAGGAAGAAGGGGCCUUUGGGUCUUGACGGUACUUGCAGAAAAAGGACCGGCUAACUACGUGCCAGCAGCCGCGGUAAUACGUAGGGUCCGAGCGUUGUCCGGAAUUAUUGGGCGUAAAGAGCUCGUAGGCGGUUUGUCGCGUCUGCUGUGAAAACUAGAGGCUCAACCUCUAGCCUGCAGUGGGUACGGGCAGACUUGAGUGGUGUAGGGGAGACUGGAAUUCCUGGUGUAGCGGUGGAAUGCGCAGAUAUCAGGAGGAACACCGAUGGCGAAGGCAGGUCUCUGGGCACUUACUGACGCUGAGGAGCGAAAGCGUGGGGAGCGAACAGGAUUAGAUACCCUGGUAGUCCACGCCGUAAACGUUGGGCGCUAGAUGUGGGGACCUUUCCACGGUUUCCGUGUCGUAGCUAACGCAUUAAGCGCCCCGCCUGGGGAGUACGGCCGCAAGGCUAAAACUCARAGGAAUUGACGGGGCCCC
rnacentral:rRNA from 1 species